rnacentral:rRNA from 1 species
AUUGAACGCUGGCGGCAUGCCUUACGCAUGCAAGUCGAACGGCAGCACGGGAGCAAUCCUGGUGGCGAGUGGCGAACGGGUGAGUAAUAUAUCGGAACGUGCCCAGUCGUGGGGGAUAACGUAGCGAAAGCUACGCUAAUACCGCAUACGAUCUAUGGAUGAAAGCGGGGGAUCGCAAGACCUCGCGCGAUUGGAGCGGCCGAUAUCAGAUUAGGUAGUUGGUGAGGUAAAGGCUCACCAAGCCAACGAUCUGUAGCUGGUCUGAGAGGACGACCAGCCACACUGGAACUGAGACACGGUCCAGACUCCUACGGGAGGCAGCAGUGGGGAAUUUUUGGACAAUGGGCGCAAGCCUGAUCCAGCAAUGCCGCGUGCAGGAUGAAGGCCUCGGUUGUAAC